rnacentral:lncRNA from 1 species
CAUAAGGAGGUCAGGAGCAUGGGGUAGACCAUUGAGAGGCUUAAAUAUGGCUAAGGAGACCCACACACCAGUGAAGCCUAAAGAAAAUAUGAAACAACCAAUUAUAAGCACGAAAAAGCCAACCCCAAGAACCAAAGAGAAGAAGGAAAAGAAGAACUCUUCUCAACAAAAGACCAACAAAAGUGGCAAGGUGGAGAAGAAAAUCAUAAAGGUAAAAAAAACCCCUUCAAAGGAAUUCAAGAAAAAAAACUCAAUCACCUCCUUCCUGCUCCAAAAAGCCUAGGAUAACAAUGAGACCAACAAUAUUUGCGUGUCACCACAAGCAGAAUAAGACACAACAUAAAAAUCAGAAGAGCAAGCACAAAAGACAACAGAAAAUAAAAAUCAGAAGAGCAAGCCCAGAAGCCGCUGGCAAAAGCAAACCAUCCCAAGUAACCAUCUCUGCUGCCAGUAAAUGCAGAGCCUGGAUCAGAAACGUACAACUAGCAACAGCAACUCUGGGGAAUCACCAAUCACAUAAAGGCCAAAGCUGAGCCCAACAGUGUUCCACCCAUGCUGAUGAAUGCAAUAAAAUCAGCACAAU